GUAGCAUUUAUACUGGUGAAACUGCGAAUGGCUCAUUAAAUCAGUUAUCGUUUAUUUGAUAGUACCUUACUACAUGGAUACCUGUGGUAAUUCUAGAGCUAAUACAUGCUAAAAACCCCGACUUCGGAAGGGGUGUAUUUAUUAGAUAAAAAACCAACGCCCUUCGGGGCUCCUUGGUGAAUCAUAAUAACUAAACGAAUCGCAUGGCCUUGCGCCGGCGAUGGUUCAUUCAAAUUUCUGCCCUAUCAACUUUCGAUGGUAGGAUAGUGGCCUACCAUGGUGGCAACGGGUAACGGGGAAUUAGGGUUCGAUUCCGGAGAGGGAGCCUGAGAAACGGCUACCACAUCCAAGGAAGGCAGCAGGCGCGCAAAUUACCCAAUCCCGACACGGGGAGGUAGUGACAAUAAAUACUGAUACGGGGCUCUUUCGGGUCUCGUAAUCGGAAUGAGAACGACCUAAAUAACCUAACGAGGAACAAUUGGAGGGCAAGUCUGGUGCCAGCAGCCGCGGUAAUUCCAGCUCCAAUAGCGUAUAUUAAAGUUGUUGCAGUUAAAAAGCUCGUAGUUGAACCUUGGGUCUGGCUGGCCGGUCCGCCUCACCGCGAGUACUGGUCCGGCCGGACCUUUCCUUCUGGGGAACCUCAUGGCCUUCACUGGCUGUGGGGGGAACCAGGACUUUUACUGUGAAAAAAUUAGAGUGUUCAAAGCAGGCCUUUGCUCGAAUACAUUAGCAUGGAAUAAUAGAAUAGGACGUGCGGUUCUAUUUUGUUGGUUUCUAGGACCGCCGUAAUGAUUAAUAGGGAUAGUCGGGGGCGUCAGUAUUCAGCUGUCAGAGGUGAAAUUCUUGGAUUUGCUGAAGACUAACUACUGCGAAAGCAUUCGCCAAGGAUGUUUUCAUUAAUCAGGGAACGAAAGUUAGGGGAUCGAAGACGAUCAGAUACCGUCGUAGUCUUAACCAUAAACUAUGCCGACUAGGGAUCGGACGGGUUUCUAUGAUGACCCGUUCGGCACCUUACGAGAAAUCAAAGU
rnacentral:rRNA from 1 species